rnacentral:ribozyme from 1 species
AGCAGCGUCGACAGAAUCAAGGAGACGUUUCGAACGCCGCUCAACGCUAUCAUCAGGAGAAUACUAGGAAGAACGGGAAACAAACAAGGCGCACUAGCACUGUCGGCCGACCCGUGGGGUGCGGUACGCAACCACGCGGAACGCAUCCUC